CCCAGUUCGGAUUGUAGUCUGCAACCCGACUACACGAAGCUGGAAUCGCUAGUAAUCGCGGAUCAGAAUGCCGCGGUGAAUACGUUCCCGGGUCUUGUACACACCGCCCGUCACACCAUGGGAGUCGGAAAUGCCCGAAGUCUGUGACCCAACCUUAGGGAGGGAGCAGCCGAAGGCAGGUCGGAUGACUGGGGUGAAGUCGUAACAAGGUAAC
rnacentral:rRNA from 1 species